CUCUUUCAAAAAACGUCUUUAAUACACAAAAACGUACAGAAUAUAAACAUCAAUAGUAUUCAUGUAUUAAACAAAUAGCACAUGUACUUAUAAACACAAUUUCUCGCCCAUCGUUUUUUUAAAGCACCAAUUCACUGACAUCAUUCCUUGAGAUUAUAAAAGUUUACUAGCGUUAGUCUGACCAAUCAAUCAAAAACCUAAAUAAUUAUAUUCCUAAUUGUGCCUAUAUUCUAAUUACCCAUAAUUCAUUAAGAAUCUCCUCGACUCCCUCUUGUUUAUGACCCUGUUUAUGUUGGCUCCAGAUAGAAGUCGCCCUUAGGUACAGAUCUAGGAUCAGUUUUCCCUCACCCAAAGGACAAUGCAACAACGUCUCCUCUUCACCCCCUGCUGACAUCACCAAUUCAAGUCCUUAUCCAGUCAUUAGGCAGAAUAGUCUAUGUAAUAUUAUGUCAAAUAGGGUCUGUUUCAUACAUGUACACAUGUGGAGGCCAGUAGGAAUGUGUUUCAUCCCCCUGAGACCCUCUCAGACAGUGAGGUUACAGAUCAGCCACGUGUGGAGGCCAGUAGGAGUGUGUUUCAUCCCCCUGAGACCCUCUCAGACAGUGAGGUUACAGAUCAGCCACGUGUGGAGGCCAGUAGGAGUGUGUUUCAUCCCCCUGAGACCCUCUCAGACAGUGAGGUUACAGAUCAGCCACGUGUGGUGGCCAGUAGGAGUGUGUUUCAUCCCCCUGAGACCCUCUCAGACAGUGAGGUUACAGAUCAGCCACGUGUGGUGGCCAGUGGGAGUGUGUUUCAUCCCCCUGAGACCCUCUCAGACAGUGAGGUUACAGAUCAGCCACGUGUGGAGGCCAGUAGGAGUGUGUUUCAUCCCCUGAGACCCUCUCAGACAGUGAGGUUACAGAUCAGCCACGUGUGGUGGCCAGUAGGAGUGUGUUUCACAUGUUUCCCAUGACAAUAAAGCCCCUUGGAUUGAAUUAAGAGAGAGAGAGAGAGAGACAGACACACAGAGAGAGACACAGAGAGAGACACAGAGAGAGAGAGAGAGACACAGAGAGAGAGACACACAGAGAGAGACACACAGAGAGAGACACAGAGAGAGACACAGAGAGAGAGAGAGAGAGAGAGAGAGAGAGACACAGAGAGAGAGACACAGAGAGAGACACAGAGAGAGAGACACAGAGAGAGACACAGAGAGAGAGAGAGAGAGACACACAGAGAGAGAGACACAGAGAGAGACACACAGAGAGACAGAGAGAGAGAGACACACAGAGAGAGACACACAGAGAGAGACACACAGAGAGAGACACAGAGAGAGAGAGAGAGAGAGAGAGAGAGAGAGAGAGAGAGAGAGAGAAAGAGAGGGAGAGAGAGAGAGAGAGAGAGAGAGAGAGAGAGAGAGAGGGAGAAAGAGAGGGAGAGAGAGAGAGAGAUAGGGAGAAAGAGAGGGAGAGAGAGGAAGAAAGUAUAGUGGAGUAACUUGUUAAAGGUCUGUGUGUGUCUGCACCUGUAUAACUCCUGGAACACUAACAACUGGUCCUUCCAUUAAACCAGUUGUGCUUUACAAACUAUCCCUCUGAUACACUGAGUAGGCAGCCUUUCCCUUUAACAAACUGGAACUGGUUUAUACUGUGUAACACAGUGAGGGGAAUAGACAAACACUACAGCUUGGUUGGAGGUAGAAACCAGAGCUGUGUUACCCCCUGUCUUUGACCCUGUGUGAUUAAGUCCCUGAUACAUGCAUACCAUUACUCAACCUCUAUUUCUAGUCCUUCCUCUCUCUCUCUCUCUCUCUCUCUCUCUCUCUCUCUCUCUCCUCUUUCUCUCUCUCUCUCUCUCUCCUUUCAGGCCCUCUCUGUGUGUGUUUGUGUUGGCAACAGCCUCUUAAGUGCGGUAGGUAAAAUCCCUACAUCCAACAAGCCUGCCAAGAAAGCCACACACACACACACACACGUGCGGGCACGCCAAACACACAAAGAGAGAAGGAGAGCCAAGAAAGCUUCACUCAGCUCAACCUCAGGGGGGAGAAGCUUUAGAAAACCCCAGGUCCUUUCUCCUCCCACACAAUAAGAUGUGCUGCUGUUACUGUACGUUAGUCGUUGUUAUCAUGCAGCUCUUACUAAUAUACUGUGUCUGAAAGGAGGAUCACAUUUACAUAUCUGGUUUACUUUAGGCCAGAGAAUGUUCCCACAGGAAAAACAACGCUGUUUUACAGGAGUCGGCAGCUCUUCCUCAGUUCAUGCUACUCUACUGUAAUGUUUACAUUAGUUAGUUAGUUUGUUAGUUUACACUAGAAAGGGCCGAUCUUAGAGAUGUCCUAACUUGAGGGGUCAUGACCCCACUCUCCCAUCUGGGAUACAUUCUCAAAGACUUUCUGCCUUACCCUUUCUAUCUUUCUAUUUCCCUCUCUCCUUCUCUCUCAUGAGAAUGCAGUCUCCUCUCGCUCUCUUCCAUUCACCCCUUUCUCCCUUUCUCUCAUCCUCCUUCUUUCUCCUUCUCUCUCAUCCUCCUUCUUUCCCUCUCCUUUUACCCCUUUUCGCUCCCUAUUUUUCUGUCCUCUCUACUAUUCUCAUCUCCCUCUCUGUCUCCUUCUUUCCCCUUCUCUCAGGGUAGUUCGGUCAGUCAGAGGUCUGGUUGUCAUUAGCUUCCUGUUACUGACUUAAAGAAAAACAGCCCCGACAGAGAGAGAGAGGGACGUACGGACAGACAGACAGAGAGAGAGAGAGAGAGAGAGAGAGAGGGAGGGACGGAAGGACAGAGGAUGAGAGAGAGAGGGAGAGAGAGAGCAAAAGAGGGAGGUCAGGGAGAGACAGAGAGAGACAGAGAUGGAGAGAGAGGGAGAGAGAGCAAGAGAGGGAGAGGAAGAGCAAGAGAGAGGGAGAGGAAGAGCAAGAGAGGGAGAGGAAGAGCAAGAGAGAGGGAGAGGAAGAGCAAGAGAGAGGGAGAGGAAGGAAGAGAGAGAGAGAGAGGA
ensembl:lncRNA